GGAAGUAUUAAGUCGUAACAAGGUUUCCGUAGGUGAACCUGCGGAAGGAUCAUUG
rnacentral:rRNA from 1 species